UACGUAGGGGGCAAGCGUUGUCCGGAUUUAUUGGGCGUAAAGAGCGCGUAGGCGGCCUGAUAGGUCUGCUGUGAAAACUCGAGGCUCAACCUCGAGAUGUCGGCGGAAACCGUCUGGCUAGAGUCCGGAAGAGGAGAGUGGAAUUCCUGGUGUAGCGGUGAAAUGCGCAGAUAUCAGGAAGAACACCUAUGGCGAAGGCAGCUCUCUGGGACGGUACUGACGCUGAGACGCGAAAGCGUGGGGAGCGAACAGG
rnacentral:rRNA from 1 species